rnacentral:rRNA from 1 species
UACGGGAGGCAGCAGUGGGGAAUAUUGCCAAUGGGCGAAACCCUGAUGCAGCGACGCCGCGUGAGUGAAGAAGUAUUUCGGUAUGUAAACUCUAUCAGCAGGGAAGAUAAUGACGUACGGGACUAAGAAGCACCGGCUAAAUACGUGCCAGCAGCCGCGGUAAU